rnacentral:tRNA from 1 species
AGUAAGGUGCCUGAUUAAAGGACUAUUUUGAUAGAAUAGAUCAAGUAUUUAUAUACCCUUAUUA